UGCAAAUGAUGUGAAAGAAUAUUUGCUAUCUGAGCCGCUGUGCUGACAAUCCACCAAGAUCACUGAUGCA